GCAGGGGUGGCGGAGCUUGGUCAAACGUGCCGGGCUUAGGACCCGGUGGCUUAGUGCCUGCAAGGGUUCGAAUCCCUUCCCCUGCA
rnacentral:tRNA from 1 species